AUCAAUCCUGACUGAUUGGAAGGCGAGAAAGUUGUGAUAUUCGGAACACUCUUCAAUUGCUCUUCCACCGUUACUCUCUUUCCAUCAGAUUCUAUAUGUCUUGGUUCAGUCCUGGCAUAUCCCUAUUUCCGGCAUCUCGCGUUCUCUCCUCCAUCAGGGAAUAGGUUGCUGGAUGGUGUUGGUUGUAGCAAGGGAAUAUGCUGAAAUGGACAUUCUAUUGUUGAGGUCUUAGAACUGAUUUGGUGAAAGCAUGUGGAAUUUCUCCCAAUUUAUUGCCUCCAAGGACACAGAUUUUUGGGGCUGGUUCUUACUCAUAUUUGGCUUUGUUUUCUUUGUGGGUUUCUUCUAUGCUGCAAUUAUAUUAAAGUUUCUUCCACCAUCUGAUAAUGCUCUCAUAUCUGCUAUAAAGACCGACAGGUAACCUUUUGGUGUAUAUAAGUCUUAUGUCUAAUAAAAUUAUUUAACAUUACUUGGUAACGUUGAGUCCUGUUUUAAACCUAAUUGGGAGCUUUAGUGA